GCAAGACAGGAGAGGGAUCUGAUGGGGGCAGCAAAGUAGUGCCCAGUUCACCAUGUCUGGAGAUUUUCUCUAAGUGCUGGAGGCUGGGGAUGCAAAGACAAAGGCGCUUUGUACUUUCAGAAGGGCUGUCAGCUGUUGGGGAAUUCGCGGCGGGGGACCGCCUCUGCCUCCGAGAGAUGCUGCCUUGCCCAUGAGUCACACCCCUGUGGCGGCCCAGUACCUCCGCAGAGCACUGCAGCCCGGAGGGCUUACCUAACCCCUUGAUUUGGAGACAGUGGUUUUACAUUAGAGCUGGACAGGCUUCGGCAGAUACCUGGGCUUCUCCUGAACCGCUGGGAGCAGACCAGACUGAAGAUACCUCGGUGGCAACAUGUAUGGAUUCAUCAACACCUGUCUGCAAUCUCUGGUGAUAGAGAAAUUUGGUGAAGAGACCUGGGAAAAACUAAAAGCUCGUGUGGAUGUGCAAGAUGCCUUCAUGACCUAUACGGUCUAUGAUGAUGUCAUCACCAUUAAGCUCAUCCAAGAGGCCUGCAGUGUUCUUGGUGUCUCCAUGGAAGCCAUUCUGAAACUCUUUGGGGAAUACUUCUUUAAGUUCUGUAAGAUGUCUGGCUAUGACAGGAUGUUACGGACACUGGGAGGAAAUCUCACUGAGUUUAUUGAAAACCUAGAUGCCCUCCACAGCUACCUGGCGCUCUCUUAUCAGGAGAUGAAUGCACCAUCGUUCCGAGUGGAGAGAGCAGCCGAUGAGAAGAUGCUUCUCCAUUACUACUCUGACAGAAGUGGUCUAUGCCACAUCGUGCCAGGUAUCAUUGAGGCUGUGGCCAAAGACUUCUUUGACAUUGAUGUGACCUUGGAGAUCCUUGACGUGCAUCAGGAGGAGGAGAGGACAGCAAAGAAGGAGCACGUUGUGUUUUUGAUUGUACAGAAGUCACACAGACAGAUGAGAAGGGCAAAGCCAAAGGACAGCCAGAGAGACCAAGAGGCGCUGGAGGCAGCUUUCCUUCGGAUGAAAGAGAAGUAUUUGAGUGUCUCCGUUUGCCCUGUGAAGAAGUCCCGCUGGGAAGUUGUGAGACGCAUUGUCAUGUUUGGAAAAAGGCAUCUCAGGAACACCUUUGAACCGAUUUAUCCGGAGCGGCUUUGGAUUGAAGAGAGAACUUUCUGCAAUGCUUUCCCCUUCCACCUUGUGUUUGAUGCGUCACUGCGGGUCAAACAAGCCGGAGUGAAUAUUCAGAAGUACAUCCCGGGACUCCGAACCCCGAAGAUUCGAUUAGACACGUACUUCUCCAUCGUCCAUCCCCCAGUCGCCUUCGACAUUUUCAGCAUCUGCCAGUUCAUCAACAGCCCGUUUGUCCUGAAGGCGCGAGGGGAAAGGUUGCCGGAGGCAGGGAGGAGCCGGCCGCCGCUCAAGCUCCGAGGUCAGAUGAUCUGGAUGGAGUCCACACGGUGCAUGGUGUACCUGUGUUCCCCCAAGCUCCGCAGCCUGGGGGAGCUGGAGGAGCGUCAGAUGCACCUCUCCGACAUCGCCCCCCAUGACACCACCAGGGACCUCAUCCUCCUGAACCAGCAGCGCCUGGCAGAGAUGGAGCUGUCCAACCAGCUGGAGAGGAAGAAGGAGGAGCUGCGGGUCCUCUCCAAGCACCUGGCCAUAGAGAAGAAGAAAACAGAAGCUUUGCUGUACGCCAUGCUGCCCAAACACGUGGCCAACCAGCUGAAGGAGGGCAGGAAGGUGGCUGCAGGAGAAUUUAAGACCUGCACGAUUCUCUUCAGCGAUGUGGUGACAUUCACCACCAUCUGUGCCGCCUGCGAACCUAUCCAGAUAGUGAAUAUGCUAAAUUCAAUGUACUCCAAGUUUGACAGGCUAACCAGCGUCCACGACGUCUACAAAGUGGAAACAAUAGGAGACGCUUAUAUGGUGGUCGGGGGUGUUCCGGUGCCUAUCGGGAGCCAUGCCCAGAGAGUAGCCAACUUCGCCUUGGGGAUGCGGCUUUCUGCGAAAGAAGUCAUGAAUCCUGUUACUGGUGAACCCAUCCAGAUCAGAGUGGGGAUCCACACGGGGCCAGUCUUGGCAGGUGUCGUGGGAGACAAGAUGCCGCGGUACUGCUUGUUUGGUGACACUGUGAACACAGCUUCCAGGAUGGAAAGUCACGGGCUGCCCAACAAAGUGCACCUUAGCCCCACGGCCUACAGAGCCCUGGAAAACCAAGGCUUCGAAAUAACGGAGAGGGGCGAAAUCGAAGUGAAAGGCAAAGGGAAAAUGACCACGUACUUUCUGAUCCGGAACGUGAACGCCUCGGAGGAUGAGCUCAUGGGGAGACCUCGGACUCCGCUCCAUCCCGAGGGGCUUUUCCCAUCAGCCUCUGCUGCGGCUGGGAAUGACCUCAGAGCCUCCCCCUUUGACCCUGAGCCUCAGGGGAGGCUCCAGAACAGGCUUUCUUCACACACUGCAGACUCCCACCUUCCUCACUGUUGGUGUCCAAAAUGGCAAAGGACAGGCUCUGUGAUCUACCUGGCUCCAGGAAUGACAAGAGUGAGUUCAUGUUCAAACAAUCCAGUGCUAAGCCAGUCCAGAGAGCACUACUUUGAUUUAAAUGCAUCACAGUUCAUUUAA
rnacentral:lncRNA from 1 species